GACAGAGGUUGCAAACGUUGUUCGGAAUUACUGGGCAUAAAGCGCACGUAGGCGGUCCACUAAGUCAGGUGUGAAAUCCCCCGGCUCAACCGGGGAAUUGCGCCUGAUACUGGUGGGCUCGAGGUCGAUAGGGGUGAGCGGAACUCCAGGUGGAGCGGUGAAAUGCGUAGAUAUCUGGAGGAACACCGGUGGCGAAGGCGGCUCACUGGAUCGAAUCUGACGCUGAGGUGCGAAAGCUAGGGUAGCAAACGGG
rnacentral:rRNA from 1 species